CUAAUCUACCGGAACAGGUUGUUUCAAACUGGGGCCUUGAUUUAAUUUGCUUAGAAUAAUUUCUGACGUUGAUUCAUUUUGUUGUAAAAGAAAAACCACUUUUCAGAUGAAUUAAAAUUGAGUCCUUGGCCAGAUGAGGGCAAGGCAAUUUAUUAAGCAAAGUGAUUCAAAAUAGGCGGCAUGUUUAACCCCUUAAGGACACUUGACAUGUGUGACGUCAUGAUUCCCUUUUAUUCCAGAAGUUUGGUCCUUAAGGGGUUAAAGGUAUUGAGCAAGCUGUUUGUUUA